rnacentral:tRNA from 2 species
GCGGGUGUAUCCAAGCACGGUCAAAGGAACUGGUCUACCAAAUCGGUCCUUCAGAGGUUCGCGGGUUCAAAUCCCGCCGCCCGCA